CCUACGGGUGGCUGCAGUGGGGAAUAUUGCACAAUGGGGGAAACCCUGAUGCAGCGACGCCGCGUGAGUGAAGAAGUAAUUCGUUAUGUAAAGCUCUAUCAGCAGGGAAGAAAAUGACGGUACCUGAUUAAGAAGCCCCGGCUAACUACGUGCCAGCAGCCGCGGCAAUACGUAGGGGGCAAGCGUUAUCCGGAUUUACUGGGUGGAAAGGGAGCGUAGACGGCAGUGCAAGUCUGGAGUGAAAGGAAGGGGCUCAACCCCCGGACUGCUCUGGAAACGGUACGGCUGGAGGGCAGGAGAGGUAGGUGGAAUUCCGAGUGUAGCGGUGAAAUGCGUAGAUAUUAGGAGGAACACCAGUGGCGAAGGCGGCUUACUGGACUGUAACUGACGUUGAGGCGCGAAAGCGUGGGGAGCAAACAGGAUUAGAUACCCGUGUAGUC
rnacentral:rRNA from 1 species